rnacentral:rRNA from 1 species
GACGAACGCUGGCGGCGUGCUUAACACAUGCAAGUCGAACGGUAAGGACCUUCGGGGUACACGAGUGGCGAACGGGUGAGUAACACGUGGGUGAUCUGCCCUGCACUUCGGGAUAAGCCUGGGAAACUGGGUCUAAUACCGGAUAGGACCACUGCCUGCAUGGGUGGUGGUGGAAAGCUUUUGCGGUGUGGGAUGGGCGCGCGGCCUAUCAGCUUGUUGGUGGGGGUAUGGCCUACCAAGGCGAAGACGGGUAGGCGGCCUGAGAGGGUGACCAUCCAGACUGGGACUGGGAUACGGCCCAGACUGCUACGGUAGGCAGCAGUGGGGAAUAUUGCACAAUGGUCGCAAGCCUGAUGCAGCGACGCCGCGUUAGGGAUGUCGGCCUUCGGGUUGGAAACCUCUUUCAGCACCGACGAAGCGCAAGUGACGGUAGGUGCAGAAGAAGGACUGGCCAACUACGUGCCAGCCGCCGCCGUAACAC